GCUCCAUUGGAUCACUAGCUUAGAGAAAGCUAGCUGCCAUGUUGUGAGCCAUCUUGUGGAGAGCUCCACAUGAAGAGGAACUGAGGCCUCCCACCCACAGUCAGCACCAAUGUGCCAACCAUAAUCAGAGACUUUCAGGUCUUUGGGGUCAAGCAGGCCUGUGUUCGUUCAAAUCCUGGCUGCUCUUCUUCCAAGAUCCUGUGUGACCUCAAACAAGUAGAUGUACUUCUCUGAAUCCCAGUGUUCUUCAUCAGAAAACUCGGACACCAGAUGCCUUGUUCAUAGGUUGUUGCAUAAAGUGGAAAUCACAUGUGCCUCAUAAUUGCCAUACUGGAAACACUCUAGGGGCACAGCCGGCCUUAGUGAUGGCCAAACCACAACAGCGCAGCAGGUGCUUCCCAGGGUAUCGGGUACUCCCAGGGAUAUCUUCUGGGGGUAUUGGGGUAUCGGGAAUGAAUGCUCCCCUCCCCUCUCACGGAGGCCGAGGCAUGGCCCCAUGGGGCAGCCUCACACGCUGCUGCACACCCUUGGCACAUCCGCGCCCCAACGGCAAGUUUGAAGGGCCAGGUGAGCAUAUGGCCUCAUGACAGAACUUGGCUGGAGACGGGUCUGCUUCCUCUCCCUCGUUAGUGUCGCCCAGGGGCCUGCGCCCUCCUUAGCAGAGGCCUGGGUAACGAAGGCCACAGCCUAUUAAUUGCAGUGACAGUGAUAAAGGAAGGAGGGAGGCCGCUAUUUGUCUUGCCCGUAACCUCUCGCAUCAUUCCAAGAUGAAUGAAAACUCAUUUUCUGCUUUGA